GUUGUAUGGUUAAGUGACUAAGCGUACACGGUGGAUGCUUGGCAGUCAGAGGCGAUGAAGGACGUAUUAACUUGCGAUAAGCCCAGAUUAGGCAGUAAAAGCCACUUGAGUCUGGGAUUUCCGAAUGGGGAAACCCACUAGCAUAAGCUAGUAUCAUUAACUGAAUACAUAGGUUAAUGAAGCGAACCGGGGGAACUGAAACAUCUAAGUACCCCGAGGAAGAGAAAUCAACCGAGAUUCCGGUAGUAGCGGCGAGCGAAACCGGAUUAGCCCUUAAGUUAGUUCUGCGUUAGGUGAAGGUUCUGGAAAGU
rnacentral:rRNA from 1 species